rnacentral:rRNA from 1 species
UGCGGUUAAAAAGCUCGUAGUUGGAUCUCGGCAGGUAGGGGGCGGUUCGUUUCUGACGGCACUGCCCCAUUUACCUGUGUUUUUGCAAGAGGUCUCAAGGUGGCUUUAAUCGGCUGUCUUGGAACGCUUGCAGUUUUACUUUGAAAAAAUUAGAGUGCUCAAAGCAGGCUACAAAGCUUGAAUAUUUGUGCAUGGAAUAAUGGAAUAGGAAGUCGUUUCUAUUUUUUUGGUUUUCGGAAAUUGACUUAAUGAUUAAUAGGGACAGCCGGGGGCAUUAGUACUCAGACGACAGAGGUGAAAUUCUUGGACCGUUUGAGGACUAACUACUGCGAAAGCAUUUGCCAAGAGUGUUUUCAUUAAUCAAGAACGAAAGUUAGAGGUUCGAAGGCGAUCAGAUACCGCCCUAGUUCUAACCAUAAACAAUGCUGACUAGCGAUCCGUAGCUGUUUUCUAUGUAGGCUCUACGGGAAGCUUCCGGGAAACCAUAGUUUUUGAGUUCCGGGGGAAGUAUGGUUGCA